rnacentral:rRNA from 1 species
UGGGGAAUAUUGGACAAUGGGCGCAAGCCUGAUCCAGCAAUGCCGCGUGAGUGAUGAAGGCCUUAGGGUUGUAAAGCUCUUUCGCACGCGACGAUGAUGACGGUAGCGUGAGAAGAAGCCCCGGCUAACUUCGUGCCAGCAGCCGCGGUAAUACGAAGGGGGCUAGCGUUGUUCGGAAUUACUGGGCGUAAAGGGCGCGUAGGCGGCUCUUCAAGUUAGGCGUGAAAGCCCCGGGCUCAACCUGGGAAUUGCGCUUGAUACUGUUGGGCUUGAGUUCGGGAGAGGAGAGUGGAAUUCCCAGUGUAGAGGUGAAAUUCGUAGAUAUUGGGAAGAACACCAGUGGCGAAGGCGGCUCUCUGGACCGAUACUGACGCUGAGGCGCGAAAGCGUGGGGAGCAAACAGGAUUAGAUACCCCGGUAGUCC